rnacentral:snRNA from 1 species
UUGUUCAGGCUCUCCGUGUUUG